UGCCAUCAAGUUUAGGUUUCUACUUAGAUUUUGGGUACAUCAUAGGGACUGCCGGUGAUAAGCCGGAGGAAGGUGGGGAUGACGUCAAGUCCUCAUGGCCCUUAUGGGCUGGGCUACACACGUGCUACAAUGGAGGUUACAAUAUGUUGCGAAGUCGCGAGGCGGAGCUAAUCCCCAAAAGCCAUCUCAGUUCGGAUUGCACUCUGCAACUCGAGUGCAUGAAGUCGGAAUCGCUAGUAAUCGCGGAUCAGCAUGCCGCGGUGAAUACGUUCUCGGGCCUUGUACACACCGCCCGUCACACCAUGGGAGUUGGUAUUGGCCUGAAGACGGUGUGCUAACCGCAAGGAGGCAGCCGGCCACGGUAGGGUCAGCGACUGAGGUGAAGUCGUAACAAGGUAACCAAUUGAAUUCCCG
rnacentral:rRNA from 1 species